GGGGCCAUAGCUCAGCUGGGAGAGCGCCUCGUUCGCAAUGAGGAGGUCGGCGGUUCGAUCCCGCCUGGCUCCACCA
rnacentral:tRNA from 2 species